rnacentral:RNase_P_RNA from 1 species
AGCUGGACAGUCUGUCGCGCAGUACUUUUGAUGCUGUGAGGAACGUCCGGGCAACGCAGAGUGCCAUACUACCUAACGGGUAGCAGGUCGUGAGGCUUGAGUAACGUAACAGAGAAUAACAGCCACAAAGGCGUUUCGCCUUGAGUGUACAGAGCCAGCCUCUGUACGUGGUGAUGGUGAAAAGGUAAGGUAAGAGCUUACCGGAUGAUAUAGCGAUAUAUCGUGCCGUACGUCUUAUGGGUUGCAAGAUCAUGUAAACCGACGCUAUGAGGGUUACUCGCCCCAGUCGGAGGGUAGAUUGCUAGAGCUAUGUAGAGAUGCAUAGUCGAGAUAAAUGACAGACGCAAGUCUUAUCGGCUUGUACAGAACCCGGCUUAUCGUUCAGCUCCU